rnacentral:rRNA from 1 species
GUAGGUGGCAAGCGUUGUCCGGAAUUAUUGGGCGUAAAGCGCGCGCAGGCGGUUCUUUAAGUCUGAUGUGAAAGCCCACGGCUCAACCGUGGAGGGUCAUUGGAAACUGGAGAACUUGAGUACAGAAGAGGAAAGCGGAAUUCCACGUGUAGCGGUGAAAUGCGUAGAGAUGUGGAGGAACACCAGUGGCGAAGGCGGCUUUCUGGUCUGUAACUGACGCUGAGGCGCGAAAGCGUGGGGAGCAAACAGGGAUUAGAUACCCUGGUAGUCCACGCCGUAAACGAUGAGUGCUAAGUGUUAGGGGGUUUCCGCCCCCUUAGUGCUGCAGCUAACGCAUUAAGCACUCGGCCUGGGGAGUACGGCCGCAAGGCUG